GUAGGGAAUAUUGGGCAAUGGAGGCAACUCUGACCCAGCCAUGCCGCGUGAGCGAUGAAGGCCUUAGGGUUGUAAAGCUCUUUCAGCUGGGAAGAUAAUGACGGUACCAGCAGAAGAAGCCCCGGCUAACUCCGUGCCAGCAGCCGCGGUAAUACGGAGGGGGCUAGCGUUGUUCGGAAUUACUGGGCGUAAAGCGAACGUAGGCGGAUCAGAAAGUCAGAGGUGAAAUCCCAGGGCUAAACCUUGGAACUGCCUUUGAAGCGCCUGGUCUUGAGGUCGAGAGAGGUGAGUGGAAUUCCGAGUGUAGAGGUGAAAUUCGUAGAUAUUCGGAGGAACACCAGUGGCGAAGGCGGCUCACUGGCUCGAUACUGACGCUGAGGUGCGAAAGCGUGGGGAGCAAACAGGAUUAGAUACCCUAGUAGUCC
rnacentral:rRNA from 1 species